rnacentral:rRNA from 1 species
ACUAACCAGGAUUCCCUCAGUAACGGCGAGUGAAGCGGGAAAAGCUCAGACUUAUAAUCUUCGGAAAUGUAGUCUGUUGAGACCACGCCGUUCUUGACGGAGGGUUAAAUCCCCUGGAAUGGGGUACAAGAUAGGGUGAAAGUCCCAUUCAAGCCUUCUGUCUGAGUGUACGGCCAGUCUUCAUUGAGUCGAGUUGCUUGGGAUUGCAGCUCAAAGUGGGUGGUAAAUUCCAUCUAAAGCUAAAUAUAGGUGAGAGACCGAUAGCAAACAAGUACCGUGAGGGAAAGAUGAAAAGAACUUUGAAAAGAGAGUUAAAGAGUACCUGAAAUUGCUAGAAUGGAACCGAUGGGAAGUAGUGUUGCGGGCGACAUUGUCCAACUUGUUUACAAGCUGGAAAUUUUGUUGCAUAGCAAGUCAUUCUCGAUUACUUCCGCCAAAGACCACCUCGAACUGUAUAGUUCAAGGAACCCUUGUGGGAUGGAUCGAAAUUGACGAAAUACUUCUCAUCAUCCCGUCUUGAAACACGGACCAAGGAGUCUAACAUGUCUGCAAGUGCUUGGAGUUUACCUCCGUGCGCGAAAUUAACGUAAAGUCGGACUUGUCCGAUGAGGUAGGAAAUUUGCACUAUCGACCGACCAUGCUCCUACGGGAAAAAGGUUUGAGUGUGAGCACACAUGUUGGGACCCGAAAGAUGGUGAACUAUGCUUGAGUAGGACGAAGCCAGGGGAAACUCUGGUGGAGGUCCGUCGCGAUUCUAACGUGCAAAUUGAUCGUCGAACUUGGGUAUAGGGGCGAAAGACUAAUCGAACCAUCUAGUAGCUGGUUCCUCCCGAAAUUUCCCUCAGGAUAGCUGCAACCGAACAGUUUUAUCAGGUAAAGCGAAUGAUUAGAGGCCUCAGGGGUGGAACGUCCUUGACCUAUUCUCAAACUUUAAAUGGGUAAGAACCCGGAGUUGCUUAAUUGAACUCUGCGGUCGAAUGACGGUUGCUAGUGGGCCAAUCUGGGUAAGCUAGAUUGGCGAUGCGGGAUGAACCGAACGCUGAGUUAAAGUGCCAAAAUGUCCGCUAACCUAGACCCCACAAAAGGUGUUGGUUCAUUAAGACAGCAGGACGGUGGCCAUGGAAGUCGGAAACCGCUAAGGAGUGUGUAACAACUCACCUGCCGAAUGAACUAGCCCUGAAAAUGGAUGGCGCUAAAGCGGAAUACUUAUACUCAGCCAACCCCGCAAGUACAAUGCGGUGUUGAGUAGGGGGGCGUGGAGCUUGCUGUGCAUUCUUUGGCGUGAGCCAGGAUGAAGCGAGCUCUAGUGCAGAUCUUGGUAGCAGUAGCAAAUAUUCAAAUGAGAACUUUGAAGACUGACGUGGAGAAAGGUUCCAUGUGAACAGUAAUUGGACAUGGGUUAGUCGACCCUUAGAGAUAAGAAAAUUCUGUUUGAAAUAAAUCCUUUCUCGGAAGGGUUUGCUUAUCGAAAGGGAAUCAGGUUAAUAUUCCUGAACCGAGACGUGGAUAUUGAGUGGUAACACAAGCAAAAUCGGAGACGUUGGCGAGAGCCCCGGGAAUAGUUCUCUUUUCUUCUUAACAACUCUGUAGACCUUGGAAUCGGAUUGCCCGGCGGUAAGGUUUACAGGUUGGAAAAGCGACAUAAUUUUUGUGUCGUCCGGUGCGCUCUCGACGACCCUUGAAAAUCCGGUGGCGUGACUUAUUUACACCCUCGGUCGUACUCAUAACCGCCUCAGGUCUCCAAGGUGAGCAGCCUCUAGUCAAUAGAAUAAUGUAGAUAAGGGAAGUCGGCAAAAUAGAUCCGUAACCUCGGGAUAAGGAUUGGCUCUGAGGGUUGGGCCUAGGGGUCUCUGAAUCGAUAGAAGUGGCGGCUGGGAGAGGACUGCGGCUUCGCGGCUGCGGACUUCAUUCGGCUGCUCUCUUGAAGUUUGGAGAACGUCUUCGGACUUUCCCUAGUGCGUGGAACAACCAACUCAGAACUGGAGCGGACAAGGGGAAUCCGACUGUUUAAUUAAAACAAAGCAUUGCGAUGGCUGGAGACGGUGUUGACGCAAUGUGAU